rnacentral:rRNA from 1 species
AAAGCCUGAUGCAGCGACGCCGCGUGCGGGAUGAAGGCCUUCGGGUUGUAAACCGCUUUCAGCAGGGACGAGGCGAAAGUGACGGUACCUGGAAAAGAAGCCCCGGCUAACUACGUGCCAGCAGCCGCGGUAAUACGUAGGGGGCAAGCGUUAUCCGGAUUCAUUGGGCGUUAAGCGCUCGUAGGCGGUCUGUUAGGUCUGGAGUUAGAUUCGGGGGCUCAACCCCCGUUCGCUCCCGAUACCGGCAGACUUGAGUUUGGUAGGGGAAGGUGGAAUUCCUAGUGUAGCGGUGGAAUGCGCAGAUAUUAGGAAGAACACCAGGGGACGAAGGCGGCCUUCUGGGCCACAACUGACGCUGAGGAGCGAAAGCUAGGGAAGCAAACAGGAUUAGAUACCCGGUAUCCUAGCCGUAAACCAUGGAACUAGGUGUGGGGCGAAAUAUUUCUUCCGUGCCGCAGCUAAGCAUUAAGUGUCCCGCCUGGGGAGU